rnacentral:lncRNA from 1 species
AGAAUGAGUGGGUUUUGUUAGGAGAGGAGGUGAUUGGCUUAGAGUGUCAUAAAGUGGUAGUUUUUUUUUUUUUUUAUGGUCAUUUAGCUUUUCUUUUUAAUUGUUUUCUGCAUGGUUUUAAAAGAGGGAGAAACAUGUGACUUUUUAUCCUUAGUCUUUGCAUGUGGAUUUUCGUGGAGAGAGAAAGGGUUGAUCAUGAAGUGAGGUUGUCCAGUAAUAUAAUAUAGAGGAUGUAAACGUUGGGGUCCUGUAACUGUUUGUUUUUUUUAAAACAAAACCCGAGAGUGAGGGGUGGUUUGAGAUUAGGGUCUCAUCCUUUCAGUAAGGAUUUUAUUCUCUUUUUUAGGUUUAAAGUAAAAGAUAUUUUGGGUACAACUAAUACUUCUUAACACUCAGGUUAUAACUGUUGAGGCUAGAAUUUCUUUUUUUUGAAAAAGAAGGUUAAGAGUGGAAAUCGUGA